GUCGACUGCGGCCGGUCGUAAGCCAGUCUGUUGCUGACCCCCAAGUCUCCUGUUUCCUUGCCCACCGCAGCGUUGCGAUGGACGAAGAGAAAAUGGCUGAACAUCCAGGAAAGCACGUGCCAGAUUAUGAAUCAAGUGGAGAGUCUAUGCAAAUUAGCAGUCCAAGUGAUUUACCAAUGGCUGCCUUGGCAGCUUGGAAUGAUCUUCCUGAGAAAAUUAAGAAGGAUCCCUACUUGGCACCUUUCCGAAGAGGCUAUGAAAAACACAUUGCAAGAAC